rnacentral:rRNA from 1 species
UACGGAGGGUGCAAGCGUUAUCCGGAUUCACUGGGUUUAAAGGGUGCGUAGGCGGCCUGAUAAGUCAGUGGUGAAAGCUCUCAGCUUAACUGGGAAACUGCCAUUGAAACUGUCAGGCUUGAGUACAAUUGAAGUGGGCGGAAUACAUCAUGUAGCGGUGAAAUGCUUAGAUAUGAUGUAGAACACCGAUCGCGAAGGCAGCUCACUAAAUUGCAACUGACGCUGAGGCACGAAAGCGUGGGGAGCAAACAGG